rnacentral:lncRNA from 1 species
AACCAACCAAAACAAAGAAAUGUUUCAUUGGUUCUGAGUUCUGGUUUUCUUAAGUAUAUCUUUGUCUUGACUACAGAAAUGGACAAGUCUGAAGAAAAGCCUGGCCAAUUUGAUCGGUCACUCUCUCAGGAUGACUGUUACAUUGUCAAUGUGAGUUCAAGCAACAAUGAAAACUCUGAAUCUACUGUGGUCAGAAAGGCAGUACAGAAGAGACAGGUCAGCCCUGUAGUGAUUGACUCUGAGUCUGAUGAUGAGUAUGCUCAUGAAGAAAAGAAAAUAAAGAUUUAUGAAAUAAAUAGUCAAGGUAAGUAUACUGCUCUCUAGAGAAGUAGCUAAGCUCUGAAGACUCAUGCAUUAGUACUUUC